UGCAAGUCGAACGAGAGAAGAGAAGCUUGCUUUUCUGAUCUAGUGGCGGACGGGUGAGUAACACGUGAGCAAUCUGCCUUUCAGAGGGGGAUACCGAUUGGAAACGAUCGUUAAUACCGCAUAAUAUAAUUGAACCGCAUGAUUUGAUUAUCAAAGAUUUAUCGCUGAAAGAUGAGCUCGCGUCUGAUUAGCUAGUUGGUAAGGUAACGGCUUACCAAGGCGACGAUCAGUAGCCGGACUGAGAGGUUGAUCGGCCACAUUGGGACUGAGACACGGCCCAGACUCCUACGGGAGGCAGCAGUGGGGAAUAUUGCACAAUGGAGGAAACUCUGAUGCAGCGAUGCCGCGUGAGGGAAGAAGGUUUUAGGAUUGUAAACCUCUGUCUUCAGGGACGAAAAAAGACGGUACCUGAGGAGGAAGCUCCGGCUAACUACGUGCCAGCAGCCGCGGUAAUACGUAGGGAGCGAGCGUUGUCCGGAAUUACUGGGUGUAAAGGGAGCGUAGGCGGGAUCGCAAGUCAGAUGUGAAAACUAUGGGCUUAACCCAUAAACUGCAUUUGAAACUGUGGUUCUUGAGUGAAG
rnacentral:rRNA from 1 species